rnacentral:rRNA from 1 species
AGCUCCAAUAGCGUAUUGUAAAGUUGUUGCAGUUAAAAAGCUCGUAGUUGGAUUUCGGGCUCGACGGCGACGGUCAGCCGCAAGGUAUGUCACUGUCGACGUUGGCCUUCUUCGCGCAGACUUCGCGUGCUCUUAACUGAGUGUGCGUUGGAUACGCGACGUUUACUUUGAAAAAAUUAGAGUGUUCAAAGCAGGCUUGUGCUUGGAUACAUAAGCAUGGAAUAAUGGAAUAGGACUUUGGUUCUAUUUUCCGUUGGUUUCUGGAACCGAAGUAAUGAUUAAUAGGGACAGUUGGGGGCAUUCGUAUUUCGUUGUCAGAGGUGAAAUUCUUGGAUUUACGAAAGACGAACUAAUGCGAAAGCAUUUGCCAAGAAUGUUUUCAUUAAUCAAGAACGAAAGU